rnacentral:rRNA from 1 species
AACGAACGCUGGCGGCAUGCCUAACACAUGCAAGUCGAACGAGACCUUCGGGCCUAGUGGCGCACGGGUGCGUAACGCGUGGGAACCUGCCCUUAGGUUCGGAAUAACUCCCCGAAAGGGGUGCUAAUACCGGUUAAUGUCUUCGGACCAAAGAGUUAUGGCCGUUGGAUGGGCCCGCGUUGGUUUAGCUAGUUGGUAGGGUAAAAGCCUACCAAGGGCACGAUCCAUAGCUGGUCGGAGAGGAUGAUCCUCCACACUGGGACUGCGACACGGCCCAGACUGCUACGGGAGGCAGCAGUAGGGAAUAUUGGACAAUGGGCGAAAGCCUGAUCCAGCCAUGCCGCGUGAGUGAUGAAGGCCUUAGGGUUGUAAAGCUCUUUUAGCCGGGAUGAUAAUGACAGUACCGGGAGAAUAAGCACCGGCUAACUACGUG